rnacentral:lncRNA from 1 species
GUUUAUCUUUAAAAAAGAAGAAAAUUCACCCAAUUUAGUUACUUUAAACCUUCUAUAUGCCAUAUGCAAUUGGCAAUCGCCGGCAAUUUACAAGCCUGUGUUGAAUAAAUAUAGAAAAUCAUAAAAUGUAAAAAUAAAAGAACAAGAUUAGAGUGCUGAUUGUGAUGCCCAUAAUGUGCAUAGACACUUUCCGUCCUUAAAAACAUUGCAGGAAUAUGCAAACUCAGAGAGCGCGUAGUGAACUCGGGACAGCAGUUGGUUUAAGAUCGGACAGGCAACUAAACUGACAUCGUGACAAAGCGUAAAGUAUCACACAAAAUGAAGGCGUUCAAGCCGAGCUCAUACUUUUGAAGACCGUAACCCUUAAAAAUUGCAUUAUGCCGAUGCGCAUUAUUGCGAUUGAAUGUAACAACGUGUGAACCGCUUGCAAAUUUCCGGCGAUUGAUAAUUGCCUGCGACAUAUGUACUACCGUGCUUCCAAAAACAUAAAUAAAUGCAAAAUUAUUACAUUUUUGUUACAGGGUCUAGACUCUCUCACCGCGCUAAACCUGGAGAGAAAUGUUAUCCAAGCAGUUGGGCCUACCUUUUGUCGGCGUCAAGAAUACACUCAGCUCCCUCAGUUUGCUCAAUAAUCUCCUCACUGAAUUCCCGUCCGCUGCCAUUAACUCGCUCUCCGAGCUUAGGGUCCUGGAUAUCGGUUUCAACCUGAUAACGACGCUGCCUCGGAGGCGUUCUCCGGGAACCCGUCGCUGACCCUGCUGGCCCUGGACGGAACCCGAUCGCCACGAUCCCGGUCAACACCCUGGCCCACCUCAACGACACGCUCCGGGGUCUGAGCCUCGGCGGGCACUUCCUCCAGUGCGACUGCCGCCUCAAGUGGGUCAUCGAGUGGAUCAAGCACGGCGACCUCCAGGUCACCAGCCGUGAGCGCAAACCCCAGUUCUGCGCCGCCCCCGCCCAUCUCCGGGACAAGAGCUUCUACAACAUCAAGGCCGACGGUAAGCAAAACAGUCCCUCUAUGGCUUCAGUACAGACAUGUCCACAUAUGGAGCUCUUCCGGCCUAGAGUCCCUGUACUGAGAGUCAAGACAACGCG